AUAUAAUUCAGAGACUGUUAGUCAGGAUUCAAAUGUUUCGCACUUCACUCCAUUUGGGAAUAAGACCAUGAAAAAUAUUUUAGGGAUUCGUUCCUCAAUGGAGCCAAUAUUUCAGUUUAACUCAUGUAUGUGAACUACAGUAAUGGCUGCCUUUCAGUAAAUGUUACUCAAUUGAAUAAAUGCAGUUUUAGCCAUAACUCAUCAACAGGCUUUACUUUAUUGUUUGCCUAUUGCGGUUCAAUUCCUCUGCAUCUAAUAGCGCUUUCAACUUGUUUUUUUUGCCGCUUCAGCCUUCAACAAUUAUCCAGUGUGGACCAGCAGGUGGUCACUUCAAGUAAGUGAGCGUCCUAAAGGCCUGAGAUGGGAGUUUACAGAACGAGCAUUAGACUCAGCUUGUUCUUUCAAUAGUGACCUUUGUUCUCCAGAGUUACUUACAAGGCCAUCUCCAGGAGCCAAUCAACACAGGCCAUAAUUAAAUUAAAAGGACGUUCUGAGCCCGAUUUGCUGCUUUUGCUGCUGGAUCGCUUGUCCUACUCUGUGGACCAUCUGCUCAAUCUCCUUCCCCUGCUGUACUCCAAGAGAGUGUCUUGUAGUAGUGCCAUGGCUGGGAGGUGCUGGACCACGAGGAAGACCUAUGGCUUUAACAGGAAAGCAAAAUGAUUGUGGAUGGUGAAACCUAAAGUGACAACUUUGUUUUUCUCAACAGUAUCUCAAGGUGCUGACCUCCUGCAGCCUUUAUUUACCAUCCAGAGUCACAGAUUCAGAAUGGCAAUGCUGUCGCGAUCCAGGCCAACUCUGGUGAGACUGAAGGUUUGUGUGGAUUCACUCCAUUUAUUCACCAUGUUGCAGGACUUUAAUUGAGCUGGUGAUUGUAUUGUUAUGUUAUUGAUAUCCUAUUAAAAGGAGUGUUUAUAGUGUGCAUGAACAUCAGUAACGGAAGCAAAGAGCUUCACAAAUGCAGAAUGGGCAAGUAUGGAUCAUGUGCAGGCAGAUAAGAGGUGGUCUCAGCACCAUGUUCGGCACAGACAUCGUGGGAUGAAGGGCAUGUUCUGGUGCUGUACUGCUCUACAGACAAAAUGCUGGAGUAACUCAGCGGGUCAGGCAGCAUCCCUGGAGAGAAGGAAUGGGUGACGUUUCAGGUCGAGACCCUUCUUCAGCUCUGUGUUGGAUCAGUACAAGCAGGCGGGUUUUUGCCAGAAAGAAUGAAGAAGCUGCGAGCACUUCAGCAAAGUCAGAAUAAAAGUAAAGGAAAUAAAAUAACAAGUAAGUGGCGACACAAGUUAAUCAAAUUAGAAGAAAGCACGACAAGCAAAUGGAUUUAGUUCUUGAGGGAUAGAGGGGAGUUACAGUCGACGUUAGACCUUCAUUUUGAUCACCUUAGUGAACAGUGUACAGUGCAUAAGAUGGAACUCUAACCGUCUUGCUAAGAAGAUGCAAGAAAAAUUAUGAACCUUUCCCGCACAAAAUUGAAAGGUUAUAUCUACCAGAAAAAAAUUGUAGCACAUACAAUAGUUUGUUCUCUGAGAAUCAGACAACUGUUGGAUGCCUUAAUGAAAAAUUCAAUAUAUGUUUCCAUUUGUUCAGGAAACACAAACUUGGAGCGACAGAUGUACCAACAUUAUUAUGAACCCAAUAGGGAACUGAAGCCAGAGCUAAUUGAAUGUGGAACUACUCACCAGUUGAAAUGACCAUAGAUUCACACGGAGACUCUCUAACAGCUGAGAUUGAAAGGACUAGAAGGAUAUAUUGUUGCGGUUAGAUGAAAAAGGCAAAUGAAGGCUUACCUGGAGCAUGAAAGCUGGCAUGGGAAAGUUGGCCAAGUUCCACAUGGUACAAUCUUUAUAAUGAAGAAGGGUUUCGGCCCAAAACGUUGCCUAUUCCCUUCGCUCCAUAGAUGCUGCUGCACCCGCUGAGUUUCUCUAGCAUUUUUGUGUAGCUACAAUCUUUAUAAGUUUGUUUUUAUAGGUUAACAAGUUAUGGACAGUUCCAUCAGUUGAAUGAAGCAAACUAAUUCAGGUACACAUGUAGCACUGUUUGCACUCCAGGUGCACAUUGCCUUAUGUUUGUCUGCAGCCACACCAAGAUCUCAUCGUGUUGCAUGUGAUUAGAUAGAAUUAACAUUGCCUGCAGAUGAAUUCCAUGAAAGCAAAAAACAACUUGAUUUUUUAUAGUUCCUUUGAAGUAAAAAAAAAAUCUGCACAGGCAUUUCAGACCCCAAAAUAAAGAAGAAUGGAACUGAAUAAGAAACUGUUAGGAGAAUCAAUAGUUAUGGUCACAGAGUUAAUGGUCACGGUCAAGCUAUGUUAGUGAGGUAGAGGAAGUUGCAUUUCACUCAGAGUCUUACAGCAUGGAAACAGGCCCUUCAGCACAACUAGCCAACAUGUCUCAUCUGCACUAAUCUCAUCUGCCUGCGUUUGGCCCAUAUCUCUC